ACUAACAGGAUUCCCCUAGUAACUGCGAGUGAAGCGGGAAGAGCUCAAAUUUAAAAUCUGGCGGUUUUGCCGUCCGAGUUGUAAUUUAGAGAAGUGUUUUCCGCGCCGGACCGUGUACAAGUCUCCUGGAACGGAGCGUCAUAGAGGGUGAGAAUCCCGUCUUUGACACGGAUGCCCGGUGCUCUGUGAUACRCUCUCGAAGAGUCGAGUUGUUUGGGAAUGCAGCUCAAAAUGGGUGGUGAACUCCAUCUAAAGCUAAAUAUUGGCGAGAGACCGAUAGCGAACAAGUACCGUGAGGGAAAGAUGAAAAGCACUUUGGAAAGAGAGUGAAACAGUACGUGAAAUUGCUGAAAGGGAAACGCUUGAAGUCAGUCGCGUCUGCCGGGAUUCAGCCYUYGUGGUGUACUUUCCGGUAGACGGGCCAGCAUCACUUUUGGUUGCCGGAAAAGGGUGGGGGGAAUGUGGCACCUUCGGGUGUGUUAUAGCCCCCUGYCGUAUACGGUGGCUGGGAGUGAGGGAUGCCUAUUUUGUAGGAUGCUGGCGUAAUGGCUUUAAACGACCCGUCUUGAAACACGGACCAAGGAGUCUAACAUGCCCGCGAGUGUUCGGGUGGAAAACCCGUGCGCGUAAUGAAAGUGAAAGUUGGGAAGGCUGUCGUGGCCUGCACCGACGCCCGGACCUGAGAUUUAUCGACGGUUCUGCGGUAGAGCGUGUAUGUUGGGACCCGAAAGAUGGUGAACUAUGCCUGAAUAGGGUGAAGCCAGAGGAAACUCUGGUGGAGGCUCGUAGCGAUUCUGACGUGCAAAUCGAUCGUCAAAUUUGGGUAUAGGGGCGAAAGACUAAUC
rnacentral:rRNA from 1 species